AUUGAACGCUGGCGGCAGGCCUAACACAUGCAAGUCGAACGAGUGGCGGACGGGUGAGUAGUGUCUGGGAAACUGCCCGAUGGAGGGGGAUAACUACUGGAAACGGUAGCUAAUACCGCAUACCAUCGGAUGUGCCCAGAUGGGAUUAGCUAGUAGGUUGGGUAAUGGUUCACCUAGGCGACGAUCCCUAGCUGGUGUGGUAGGAUGACCGGCCACACUGGAGCUGAGACACGGUCCAGACUCCUAGGGGAGGCAGCAGUGGGGAAUAUUGGACAAUGGGCGGAAGCAUGAUGCAGCCAUGCCGCUUGUAUGACGAAGGCCUUGGGGUUGUAAAGUACUUUCAGCGAGGAGACGUUACUCGCAGAAGAAGCACCGGCUAACUCCGUGCCAGCAGCCGCGGUAAUUC
rnacentral:rRNA from 1 species